rnacentral:pre_miRNA from 14 species
GUCUUAUUCAUGUGAAAGACCCCCGGAGCGGGGAGACCCUCACUCAAGUCUCGGGAUGAUGCAACCCCCCAAGAACUCACAUGAGACC